CAGGCUUAACACAUGCAAGUCGAGGGGCAGCAUGGUCUUAGCUUGCUAAGGCCGAUGGCGACCGGCGCACGGGUGAGUAACACGUAUCCAACCUGCCGUCUACUCUUGGACAGCCUUCUGAAAGGAAGAUUAAUACAAGAUGGCAUCAUGAGUCCGCAUGUUCACAUGAUUAAAGGUAUUCCGGUAGACGAUGGGGAUGCGUUCCAUUAGAUAGUAGGCGGGGUAACGGCCCACCUAGUCUUCGAUGGAUAGGGGUUCUGAGAGGAAGGUCCCCCACAUUGGAACUGAGACACGGUCCAAACUCCUACGGGAGGCAGCAGUGAGGAAUAUUGGUCAAUGGGCGAGAGCCUGAACCAGCCAAGUAGCGUGAAGGAUGACUGCCCUAUGGGUUGUAAACUUCUUUUAUAAAGGAAUAAAGUCGGGUAUGGAUACCCGUUUGCAUGUACUUUAUGAAUAAGGAUCGGCUAACUCCGUGCCAGCAGCCGCGGUAAUACGGAGGAUCCGAGCGUUAUCCGGAUUUAUUGGGUUUAAAGGGAGCGUAGAUGGAUGUUUAAGUCAGUUGUGAAAGUUUGCGGCUCAACCGUAAAAUUGCAGUUGAUACUGGAUAUCUUGAGUGCAGUUGAGGCAGGCGGAAUUCGUGGUGUAGCGGUGAAAUGCUUAGAUAUCACGAAGAACUCCGAUUGCGAAGGCAGCCUGCUAAGCUGCAACUGACAUUGAGGCUCGAAAGUGUGGGUAUCAAACAGGAUUAGAUACCCUGGUAGUCCACACGGUAAACGAUGAAUACUCGCUGUUUGCGAUAUACAGCAAGCGGCCAAGCGAAAGCGUUAAGUAUUCCACCUGGGGAGUACGCCGGCAACGGUGAAACUCCAAGGGAAUUGACGGGGGGCCCGCACAAGCGGAGGAACAUGUGGUUUAAUUCGAUGAUACGCGAGGAACCUUACCCGGGCUUAAAUUGCAGAUGAAUUGCGGUGAAAGCCGUAAGCCGCAAGGCAUCUGUGAAGGUGCUGCAUGGUUGUCGUCAGCUCGUGCCGUGAGGUGUCGGGUUAAGUGCCAUAACGAGCGCAACCCUUGUUGUCAGUUACUAACAGGUUCCGCUGAGGACUCUGACAAGACUUCCAUCGUAAGAUGUGAGGAAGGUGGGGAUGACGUCAAAUCAGCACGGCCCUUACGUCCGGGGCUACACACGUGUUACAAUGGGGGGUACAGAGGGCCGCUACCACGCGAGUGGAUGCCAAUCCCCAAAACCUCUCUCAGUUCGGACUGGAGUCUGCAACCCGACUCCACGAAGCUGGAUUCGCUAGUAAUCGCGCAUCAGCCACGGCGCGGUGAAUACGUUCCCGGGCCUUGUACACACCGCCCGUCAAGCCAUGGGAGCCGGGGGUACCUGAAGUGCGUAACCGCGAGGAGCGCCCUAGGGUAAAACUGGUGACUGGGGC
rnacentral:rRNA from 1 species